UUUUAUACCCUCGAGCCUCCUUAAACAGGGACUUCUUAAUUUUCUUUUGGAGAGGACAGGCAGAUUACAUGAUCAUAGCAAGGCGCACAUUUUUUAUUUUUCUUUAAGUAAAGAGUGAAUGAAUAUCUUGUUAUUUUGUGUAAUUAUGUAUUUGCAUCCAUUGUAUGUGUUUUUUAUCGGAUGAUAAUGUAAAGUGCAUAUUUCACCUAACUUUUAAGUAUGAAGAUAUUAGUACAUGUAUGUAAGGUUUACGUUAAUCCAUUUGAUUGAAAGAUGUACAAUCCACAUUUGUAAAUAUUUUCAAAGAACUGCUGUACACAUGUGUGUGUAAGUGCCAACUAUGAUAAUAAACCAAGCUAUUCAAUGAAAAGAAUGAUUUUAUUUAUUUGAUGCCA
rnacentral:lncRNA from 1 species